rnacentral:piRNA from 1 species
UACCACUUUGGGUCUGCUCUGCCUUCUC